ACCUGAAAUCAAGCAAGAUCACCGGCUGAACUUAAGCAUAUCAGUAAGCCGAGGAAAAGAAACUAACAAGGAUUGCCUUAGUAGUGGCGAAUGAACCGGCAACAGCUCAAAGUGAAAAUCUGCGGCAUACAGCUGUAGAAUUGUAAUCUAAAGGCCUUUUAGGGAAGUCAUGGUUCUAGCAUAAGUUCCUUGAAAAGGGAGGUCAUAGAGGGUAAAAACCCCGUGUUAGGCUAGGACUGGACGUACCGAAGGGUUCAAAGAGUCGGGUUGUUUGGGAUUGCAGCCCUAAUUUGGAGAUAAACUUCUUCUAAAGCUAAAUAUUUAUGGGAAACCGAUAGCAAACAAGUACUACGAAGGAAAGAUGAAAAGAACUUUGAAAAGAGGGUUAAAAGACUUGAAAUCGUUGAGAAGAAAAGCGGUAGAAGAGAAAUGAUUUCACGAAGCAGUACGGGCUGAUGCGGAGCAAUCCGGGGGUAAGGUACUUAAUAGGGCCUGCCUUUGGAUAAGUAGACGCAUAAGUUCCUUUGCCCAGUGAAGUGCAAGAUGAGAGUCUGUUCGGGGAAAAGUGGUUGGGAGGACUCAGGCCUCGAUGCUUGAAGCCCAGCUAACAUG
rnacentral:rRNA from 1 species